ensembl:misc_RNA Metazoa_SRP Metazoan signal recognition particle RNA
GCUAGGUGUGGUGGCGUGCGCCUGUAAUCCCAGCUACUCAGGAGGCUGAGGCAGGAGAAUCGCUUGAACCCGGGAGGUGGAGGUUGCAGUGAGCCAAGAUCACGCCGCUGCACACUGCACUCCUGCCUGGGUGACAAAGCGAGACUCCGUCUCAA